rnacentral:lncRNA from 1 species
GCAGAAGCAAAGAAAAAACCCAUAUAUAGAGGAGACAUGGUGUCUGGAAUGAAUGGUGGGGCCCUCCCUGCCCAAGGCCAGGAUAAACUGGGGUGAUUGUCUUCCAACAGCAAGAGGUUAUGAAGGAGAUCUUGACUGCAAGAGGUGCAAAAGGAGGAGGAGAAAAAGGCAGAGGAAUCCCUCACUUCAAAUGAGAUUAUGAAGAUGUGUAAAAUGUGGGCA